rnacentral:misc_RNA from 1 species
CAUUUUUCUUCUUACUGGAGGACAGUCGACACACGCACAUAUUGCUUAGGAUCUUGGUUAAAGCUCUAAAUUUUGGGUCGUAUUCAAUUCAAACGAAUAAUUAACUAAUAAGUUUCGAGGGCUUUCUUCAAUUCUUCACACUUAAAUUACUAGCUUUUCGGUGUUGGCGUCGAUGAAGGUUUAAAGCCUCUUUCCUUCAACACCGAAAAGCU